rnacentral:rRNA from 1 species
UAAGACAGAGGUGCCAAGCGUUAGGCGGAAUCACUGGGCUUAAAGCGUGUGUAGGCGGACGGCUAAGUACCUUGUGAAAUCCCACGGCUCAACCGUGGAACUGCUGGGUAUACUGGUCGUCUUGAGCCACUUAGGGGCUAGCGGAACAAACGGUGGAGCGGUGAAAUGCGUAGAUAUCGUUUGGAACGCCAAUGGUGAAAACAGCUAGCUGGGAGUGUGCUGACGCUGAGACACGAAAGCCAGGGGAGCGAACGGGAUUAGAUACCCCGGUAGUCCUGGCCGUAAACGAUGUCGACUAGAUCGUGGUGCCUCUGACGGUAUCACGGUCGAAGCAAAAGUGCUAAGUCGACCGCCUGGGAAGUACGGUCGCAAGGCUA